GCUAUGGUGGUGUAGUGGUUAGCACAUCUGCCUAGUAAGCAGAAGACCCAUGUUCGAGUCCUGUCUGCAGCA